UCUUUGUGAUCCCUCAAGGACUGGGGAAAGUACUUGUCCAUUACUUUCCCUUUGAAUUGCUCCCAAGUCAAUUCUGCUUGUUGCUCAGGAGUCCUUGUCCUUGACAUUGAGUCCCACCAGUGACUUGCAUCAUCGAAGAACAUGAACUUAGCACACUGGACUUUCUGAGCGUUCGUCCACCCUAUCAAUCGGAAUAUACGCUCCAACUUGCGAAGCCACUCCUC
rnacentral:lncRNA from 1 species